rnacentral:misc_RNA from 1 species
GAAAUGCGAUAAGUAGUGUGAAUUGCAGAAUUCAGUGAAUCAUCGAAUCUUUGAACUCACAUUGCGCCCCUUGGUAUUCCAUGGGGCAUGCCUGUUCGAGCGUCAUUUGUACCCUCAAGCUCUGCUUGGUGUUGGGUGUUUGUCCCGUCUCCGCGCGUGGACUCGCCCCAAAGUGAUUGGCAGCCGGCGUACUGGUCCCGGAGCGCAGCACAUGUCGCGCAAACUAGUGCCUUGGUACGGCGGCGUCCAUAAGCCCCUCUCUCACGCUCUUGACCUCGGAUCAGGUAGGGAUACCCGCUGAACUUAAGC